UUUUAAUCCUGGAUUACUGUAAAAGCUUCUGAGUGUAGCAGAAUUUGGAUUCUUUUUGCAGAUCUUUUUUUCGGAAUAUUAUGUAAAUUCUCUUUUGUCCACGUGAGGGCACUGUUGCAUUCAGCUUCAGAGGACAAGCAGCUGCGGCUGCUCCCUGCCUGUACCGUGCGUGACAGUGCGUGGACUUUCAUUUGGCAGCUGUUGCUCAUCUUUGCGCUCCUCUCGGUCUCUGCUCAGAACCGCAGCCGCUUCGUCCGUUAAGGUCACUCUCUGUCCAUCAUAGGCAACUGUUUUACUGAAACUUUUAUAUAAAAAAUGAUUUCAGUACAAGUUUUGCUUUUUCUGGUGCUGAAAGACUUGCGCUGAAAGUGUGCGUAAAGUGACGCGCCAGGCGCAGAAUCGGAUCCAUCUGCGGAUAUCUACGUCUUGACCUCGCAGAUUGGUUUCCUGCAGUUUGGAGGAGUUUUGCUGCUCGUGUUCCGCGCGGAGGAUGACGGUCAGAUGAGCGUCCAGCUGCCGUUUGGGAGGCUGUAACCGCCAGCUGGAGGAGAUGCGCUCCUUUACGCACCGGCUUCCUCUGCUCCUGCCUUUCCUGGCCCUGAUCUGCACGGUUGGUGGGCGGUUCCCUCACUGCGUGCUGCACUGGGAGAUGCAGAGGAUCAGAGGAGACUGUGAAGCACAGCUGCAGCUGCAGACGGCGGCUGCAGGUGAGCACACACGGGGAAACGCACACAGGUCUUUCUGUGUCACAGCAAACGUUCAGCAAACAACUGAGCUGGCAGCAUUUCUGCGAAGAGGGGGGCGUGUCCCCCACUGAUUCAUCAAUCAUUUAUUCACCUCAUUCUCAGGGGGUAAACACAAACACUGGAGCUGUGCAUCUGAGUUUCUGUUACUUUCUGUUAUCUUUGUUUAAAUUCUUUUACAGCUGUUGUGUAGCUGCUCUACUGGACAAAUAUCACUUAAAUGCUGCACUUUCUCAGUGUUCUGACAGAGUGGCUGUCAGUGCAACAGUGACUUCAGCAUCUCCAAAGUUAGUUCAGACUUUGCUUAGCCUGC
rnacentral:lncRNA from 1 species